UACAGAGGUCUCAAGCGUUGUUCGGAUUCAUUGGGCGUAAAGGGUGCGUAGGCGGCGCGGUAAGUCGGGUGUGAAAUUUCGAGGCUUAACUUCGAAACUGCAUUCGAUACUGCCGUGCUAGAGGACUGGAGAGGAGACUGGAAUUUACGGUGUAGCGGUGAAAUGCGUAGAUAUCGUAAGGAAGACCAGUGGCGAAGGCGGGUCUCUGGACAGUUCCUGACGCUGAGGCACGAAGGUCAGGGGAGCAAACGGG
rnacentral:rRNA from 1 species